ACUGACGCUGGCUUUGUGCCAGAGUACAUCCCGCUCCAAAGACCUCCUUGGCAUUUGAACAAUUUGAGCCAAACCUGCUCACUGUGAGAAAAGCAUUUCCCAGAGCUGCAAAGGAGGCAUGUCAGAUGAGAUGCCGGGCUCCAGCAAGACAAUACCCCAGGAACAAGCUGAGUGAACAAGCCUUCUCAUCCAUUAAGUGUGCUGACCCCAUGGAUCAAGUCCUGCCUUCACGCGGGGCUGAGAAGAUGGUUUGUGUCUACAGGAAACUUUCUGAAGUUGAGCUUCAAGUAUGUGUGACUGAAUUUGAAUUUGCCUUGCCUGAUGGAUUCCUCCCAGUGUGGCUCUGUUGCUGUUUGGCCCAGGUCUUUGCUACUCUCCUGCAGUUGAUUUACAGUCUGUAGGUUCAUCGUUUUGACAAGCAGGGACUCUCAUUAAGCAAGGCUGGGAAAACGGAGACUGGAGAAGCUUGGUUUGCACCAUCUGCACCAGACUUGCUGGGACUUGCUCUGUGCAGACAGUCUCUGUGCACUGGGACGGAGGGACGAAGCAGAGCAGCCCAUGCUGCCCAGUGCUUAUGUGGUCGCUCCAGCUGAGCAAUGCGGUCUCAGAACACAAUUCAUCCUCGUUCAAGUGGCACUCAGGUUCAGUUCUUCAGAAUUACUAUAAACACAGAAUCACUGUGUGAGCACUUCAUCCAGCAUAGAGGAGCUUCCAUUGCAUGGACAGAUGCUGUUUGAAGGAACGCUGAGAUUCUGGAGUGAAAGCUGCUAUAUAACUUCAAAACAAGGUUGAACAAGAAGUGGAGCAGCCUAAUGAAGCAUGGAUUCAGCUACUAAAGCUGGAGACUUUAUAAAUGUAAAGAAUUUUUUCUCAGGUAUUCAAAAUCUAGGUGACCCAUCAGGCCCUUGGUAGAUUGCUCCUGAAGUGACAAUACUCCAGUGCUUCCUCCAAGUGGAUGCCCAACAAGCAGGACAACAGUACAAGCAGCAGAACCUGAGGUGUUCGUCUGCAGCACAGUGUUUACUAAGAAUACUGAUUUAUUUCUUUUUCUUCACCUUCUAUUCCAGAUGGGAAGUUUACCUAGCCAGCUUAGUUUGUCUUUGCAGGUAUUUCUCACAUUACAUUCUUUUGAUGGCUGCAGAUUGUAGUGCAAUUAUAGUUUACAUUGUAUGAAAUUACUACUAUACUUUAUAAUCUUUUCAUUUCUAUAUUUAUUCUCAUGGCUGCAAACAAUAAUAAAGACUGGCUUUCUUUUCUUGGAG
rnacentral:lncRNA from 7 species